rnacentral:lncRNA from 1 species
UGAUGUCGGCCAAGAGAAGGGAUCCGUUGAAGAAGAGGACAAGGUGGUUCAAAGGAGAGAGAGCCGUUUGGUGCUGUCGCUUUCCACCUUUGCUGUGCGCACCUUGCCUUGAUCAGUCCCCUUUGUUUAUUCUUUUCUUCUAUGUCAACUUGCCAUUAGUUUAUUCAUUGUUGUAUCUAUUUAAGGCAUGUAACCAGAACCAAAUGAAUCAAGGAAAUGAGUUCCUCUUCUCUUUAGUCUUAUGCGAUUCUCUCUCUCUCUCUCUCUCUCUCUCUCUCUCGAUUCUCUUCACCUUCUUCAUAAUUCUCAUAAUGGCUUAAACAAAUCUCAUAUUCUUUC